rnacentral:rRNA from 1 species
CGAACGGGUGAGUAAUGCGUGACCAACCUGCCCCCAUGCUCCAGAAUAGCUCUUGGAAACGGGUGGUAAUGCUGGAUGCUCCAACUUGACGCAAAUGUCUUGUUGGGAAAGUGUUUAGUGGCAUGGGAUGGGGUCGCGUCCUAUCAGCUUGUAGGCGGGGUAAUGGCCCACCUAGGCUUCGACGGGUAGCCGGCCUGAGAGGGCGGACGGCCACAUUGGGACUGAGAUACGGCCCAGACUCCUACGGGAGGCAGCAGGG